UCCGAGUUGACCCCGGCAGUCUCCUGCGAGUCCCCGCCAUUACGCGCUGGCAACACAGGACAAGGGUUGCGCUCGUUGCGGGACUUAACCCAACAUCUCACGACACGAGCUGACGACAGCCACGCACCACCUGUGCAAGGCCCCGUAGGACACCACAUCUCUGUGGCUUUUCCCUGCAUGUCAAACCCAGGUAAGGUUCUUCGCGUUGCAUCGAACUAAUCCGCAUGCUUCGCCGCUUGUGCGGGCCCCCGUCAAUUCCUUUGAGUUUUAGCCUUGCGGCCGUACUCCCCAGGCGGGGCACUUAAUGCGUUAGCUUCGGCACGGAGAACGUGGAAUGUCCCCCACACCUAGUGCCCACCGUUUACGGCGUGGACUAC
rnacentral:misc_RNA from 1 species